rnacentral:rRNA from 1 species
UACGUAGGCAGCAAGCGUUGUUCGGAGUUACUGGGCGUAAAGGGUGUGUAGGCGGUUGUUUAAGUUUGGUGUGAAAUCUCCCGGCUCAACUGGGAGGGUGCGCCGAAUACUGAAUGACUCGAGUGCGGGAGAGGAGAGUGGAAUUCCUGGUGUAGCGGUGAAAUGCGUAGAUAUCAGGAGGAACACCGGUGGUGUAGACGGCUCGUCUGGACCGUAACUGACGCUGAGACACGAAAGCGUGGGUAGCAAACAGG